ACGAAAAUAUGGCUGCCAUUGUUUAUUACUCUUUGUUUAAAUUAUUGUCUUAUUACGUAAAAUUCAACGAUGCUCUUCAAAGUUGGUCUCUAGCGCACGUAGAACUUUUCUUUUGAGAUUUGAAAAAACAUUAUUAAAAAGAAAAAAUUAAAAGAUUUAUUAAAAAGAUCAAAUUAUUUAUUGAGGAAGCAGCAUCAAAUUCAACAACUAGAGAGGCAUUCACAGCUGGAUAAUGCUGACAAUUUCUUUAUGGAUUGUUAAUAUCAGUGCACUGUUUGAGUUAAGCAUUGAAACUUUCAUUCAUUUUCCUCAUGAGUCUUGAGGAACAGUGAUUAUCAUCUGGUAACAUGUAAGGAUCUAGAGACAGUAAUGCCUAUAGUAACUAGAGACAAUAACAGCAGAUAUAGAAGUGGAGUGAUUAAUAUUCUAAGAAUUAGAAAUGAAGAGGAUAAGAGAAAGAAAAUUCACAAUUGUACUAACUGCAAGCAU